rnacentral:rRNA from 1 species
GCUUGCACCUUUCAAGCGAGUGGCGAACGGGUGAGUAACACGUGGAUAACCUGCCUCAAGGCUGGGGAUAACAUUUGGAAACAGAUGCUAAUACCGAAUAAAACUUAGUAUCGCAUGAUACAAAGUUGAAAGGCGCUACGGCGUCACCUAGAGAUGGGUCCGCGGUGCAUUAGUUAGUUGGUGGGGUAAAGGCCUACCAAGACAAUGAUGCAUAGCCGAGUUGAGAGACUGAUCGGCCACAUUGGGACUGAGACACGGCCCAAACUCCUACGGGAGGCUGCAGUAGGGAAUCUUCCACAAUGGGCGAAAGCCUGAUGGAGCAACGCCGCGUGUGUGAUGAAGGCUUUAGGGUCGUAAAGCACUGUUGUAUGGGAAGAAAUGCUAGAAUAGGGAAUGAUUCUAGUUCGACGGUACCAUACCAGAAAGGGACGGCUAAAUACGUGCCAGCAGCCGCGGUAAUACGUAUGUCCCGAGCGUUAUCCGGAUUUAUUGGGCGUAAAGCGAGCGCAGACGGUUGAUUAAGUCUGAUGUGAAAGCCCGGAGCUCAACUCCGGAAUGGCAUUGGAAACUGGUUAACUUGAGUGUUGUAGAGGUAAGUGGAACUCCUGGGGAAACG